rnacentral:tRNA from 1 species
UUGGUAGAAGCCAAAGCUAGAGGCGUGUCACUGUUAAUGAUAUAAUUGAGUUUAUCCUCCUACCAAG